UACGUAGGUGGCAAGCGUUGUCCGGAAUUAUUGGGCGUAAGGCGCGCGCAGGUGGUUUCUUAAGUCUGAUGUGAAAGCCCACGGCUCAACCGUGGAGGGUCAUUGGAAACUGGGGAACUUGAGUGCAGAAGAGGAAAGUGGAAUUCCAAGUGUAGCGGUGAAAUGCGUAGAGAUUUGGAGGAACACCAGUGGCGAAGGCGACUUUCUGGUCUGUAACUGACACUGAGGCGCGAAAGCGUGGGGAGCGAACAGG
rnacentral:rRNA from 1 species